AUUGAACGCUGGCGGCAGGCCUAACACAUGCAAGUCGAGCGGGGUUUUCGGACCUAGCGGCGGACGGGUGAGUAAUGCGUAGGAAGCUACCCGAUAGAGGGGGAUACCAGUUGGAAACGACUGUUAAUACCGCAUAAUGUCUACGGACCAAAGUGUGGGACCUUCGGGCCACAUGCUAUCGGAUGCGCCUACGUGGGAUUAGCUAGUUGGUGAGGUAAUGGCUCACCAAGGCGACGAUCUCUAGCUGGUUUGAGAGGAUGAUCAGCCUCACUGGAACGGAGACACGGUCCAGACUCCUACGGGAGGCAGCAGUGGGGAAUAUUGGACAAUGGGCGCAAGCCUGAUCCAGCCAUGCCGAGUGUGUGAAGAAGGCCUUCGGGUUGUAAAGCACUUUCGGCGAGGAAGAAAUGGCAACGGCUAAUAUCCGUUGUUGAUGACGGUACCCGCAUAAGAAGCACCGGCUAACUACGUGCCAGCCGCCGCAGUAA
rnacentral:rRNA from 1 species